CGUCUAUAUACGUAUAGCAUAUCAAUAAGCGGAGGAAAAGAAACUAACUAGGAUUCCCUUAGUAACGGCGAGUGAAGCGGGAAGAGCUCAAAUUUGAAAUCUUCAAGGUUCUACCUUGACGAAUUGUAGUUUAAAGAAGUGUUUUCUGUUGGAGUUUUGGUAAAAGUUCUUUGGAAUAGGACAUCAUAGAUGGUGAGAAUCCCGUAUUUGACCAUUAUUUCCAGCUGUGUGAUACACUUUCAAAGAGUCGGAUUGUUUGGGAAUGCAGUCCAAAAUGGGUGGUAAAUUUCAUCUAAAGCUAAAUACUGGCGAGAGACCGAUAGCGAACAAGUACCGUGAGGGAAAGAUGAAAAGAACUUUGAAAAGAGAGUUAAACAGUACGUGAAAUUGUCAAAAGGGAAGCGUUUGACACCAGUGUUGUUUUCUCGAAAAUCAAUUAAAAAUGGCCGGAUUUUGUGUUGUAUUGACUUUAUCAGCUUUCUGCACUUUUUUCUUGUCUUUUUUAAUGCACUUUUCGUUUAACAAGUCAACAUCAAUUUCUUUUGUUGUAAAAGAGUCAUUGGAAGGUGGCUUUCUUUUCGGAGAAAGUGUUUAUAGCCUUUGACUUCUGCAAUCGGAGAGAUUGAGGUCUGCAGCGUAGAUCCUUCGGGGCUAGAUACAUUAGAUGCUAAGUUAUAGCUUUUUAUAGACAAUUUGUUGACUAUGAUUAGUCAUGUAGCUUACUCGUUUGCGCUAUUUUACCUACGCUUAGGAUGUUGACGAUCAGCUGAGCGCG
rnacentral:rRNA from 1 species